ACUUACAUGACCCAAAAAGGGCUCUUCUUUUCAUUUCCCUCAAGUACUGUCGAGAGCAGCGGGAGGAACUGAUGGGAGCCAUAAUCUUCAGACCAAUCACACCAUCCUCAAGACCUCAUCCACCUGUUGUGGGCAAAGUGACUCAUCAUAGCAUUGAACUGUACUGGGAUCUGGAGAAGAAAGCGAAACGCCAGGGUCCUCAGGAGCAGUGGUGCAGGUUCGCAAUCGAAGAGGAAGACCCCAAAAUGCACACUUAUGGGAUCAUUUAUACGGGAUAUGCAACCAAGCAUGUUGUGGAAGGUCUGGAACCACGGACACUGUAUAGAUUUCGGCUGAAGGUCACCAGCCCCUCUGGAGAAUAUGAGUACAGCCCAGUGGUCUCGGUAUCUACGACCAGAGAGCCCAUAAGUAGCGAGCACUUUCAUAGGGCUGUCAACGUGAAUGAUGAAGAUUUGCUGGUUCAAAUACUUCAAGGAGGAAAUGUUAAGGUUGAUGUUCCCAAUAAGUUUGGCUUUACGGCUCUGAUGGUUGCUGCCCAGAAAGGAUUCACCAGGCUUGUUAAAAUCCUCGUUUCUAAUGGCACUGACGUGAAUCUGAAGAAUGGAAGUGGCAAGGACAGUCUAAUGCUUGCAUGCUAUGCGGGACACCUAGAGGUUGUGAAAUAUCUCCGAAGACAUGGUGCUUCUUGGGAAACGAGAGACCUCGGAGGCUGUACGGCUCUGCACUGGGCUGCAGAUGGAGGCCACUGCAAUGUGAUUGAGUGGAUGCUAAAGGACGGCUGUGAGGUGGAUGCUGUGGACACUGGCUCAGGGUGGACCCCACUCAUGCGAGUCUCUGCAGUCUCAGGAAACCAGGGGGUUGCCUCUCUGCUAAUUGACGCCGGAGCAGACGUGAAUGUGAGAGAUAAAGAUGGAAAGACCCCUCUAAUGGUGGCCGUGUUAAAUAAUCACGAAGAGUUAGUCCAGUUACUUCUUGACAAAGGGGCAGACGCAAGUGUAAAAAAUGAGUUUGGCAAAGGUGUCCUAGAAAUGGCCAGAGUUUUUGACAGACAGAAUGUGGUCUGCUUAUUAGAAGAAAGGAAAAAAAAGCAAAUGCCAAGGAAGUCGUCUCUCCGCACACCUGGGCACCACUCACCGCCAAGCCAAGUGAGACAAAGCAGAAGACCGGCUGUGACUCACAUGGCGGCUGUUCCAUCAGUCCAGGUCCCCAAGAGGAACCAAAGCUCACCCAGAUUGGAUGUGAUGUGCCCCAUCUCAGACUCUCUGAAUUGGAAUCUCAAGGGAAAGGACACGAGCAAUGGGUUUUAAUCAACAUCACAGUUCUUUAUGAAGUUGGAUGCUAUUUUAAAAAAAAUGUGUAAAUAGAUUUCCAUUACACUCAGAUUUUUAUUCCAGAUACAGGCGUCUUCAAGAUCUUGUGAAAACGGCUUCCCCAUCAGACCUUUGAAGAGUAAAAGGUUGAAGGGGCUGCUGCCCAAGACUGCAUUUUAUGAAUAUUUAGGAUCAGGAAAUUGAUUUCCUCAUCACUUUCUGUGAUGCUCAACAGAGUCUGAGAUGAACUCUCUACCCAGCAGCAGUAGGUGCAGAAGAACUCCCCUGGUGCUUCUGAAGUGGCUUAUAAUACGCAGACGUGUGCUCAUCUAGCUGACCUCCCGCUGAAGUGCAUGUUCUGCGUGGACUGCAAACCUAAUAUACAAGUUAGGGCAGAUUCAACGCCAGGCACAGCGAAGACAUUCUACAACGCUCCCUGCCUGUGUGCACAAUUGUAGGUGAUCACACACGCCUGUGGCCUCUUACUCUUUUCAUCCCUUUACCAUCCUUUUCUUAGCCCCCACUUUGCCUUUCAUGCUCAGGUUGUGGUUCAGGAGAGCUUGGCAGCAGUCAGCUACCAGCUAGAUGCAUACACUGAAUUAUUUUCCUCUAAAAUAGCUGACGAGAUGAAAAGGAAAUUAAAGUUUGUUUCCUUGAUCAAAGCUGAGGAGUUGGGUCAAGAAGCUUGAAUUCUGAGGGUCAUUUUACCGUGAAGGAAAUGGUGCAUUGGAAAGCACACUGUGGACGAGAGGAGGAGUUGAGGGAACUGUCCCUGGAUUUUAAAAAUCAAAGUUUCAGGGAAAGACCAAACAUGUUCGGUAAAGAACUAACUUACCUUUUAGAUGCGAGGUUGACCAAUAUCGUUGUGUUUACAAUAGUGUUUUCCUUCUGGGAGGUUGAGAUGGUAAGUUUGUGUGUUUGUCACGCUGUGUGGGACAGGGCAGGGGACUCAACAGCACAGGAUGUCAGUGGACUCGAUCUGUGCUGCUAAACAAGAGCCACCGCCACAUAUUUGCCACACCUGCAUGGAAUUCAUUCCAGUUCCCUAUGUGUGAUGUGAGAGAAAGCGCGAGCUUAAUCCAUAUCAUAUGUCUCGGAAAAGCUCCAGACAGACACCAGCCUGGAGUGAGAAAUGUGGAUUUUUCAGUUACUAAUGUUUAAAGGGUAACAUUUCCUUAGUUUCAUAAAACAGAAUGAAGGCCUUUUUGGGGCCUGCUUUAAAGGAAAUCUUGAAGCAGUCACUUCUAUAGGCAUUCACGGCUGGUAGGAAAAAAGAUACCAGCAAAUAGAAAUGGCUUUCCUCAGAUCACUUGGUCUGUCAGAGACAGUCCCAGUUUGACAUGGUACCCAGGCAAGUUGUUUAGAGGGAGACAGAAAGAGCCUCAGUGUAAAGAAACCCAUGGGGAAGGGGCUUACAGGCUCUGUGCACAUCUGAAAUUUGCAUGCAAAUUACUGAGUACUGGUGCAUUUUCUGAGGGUUCGUAGCUUUCAUCAGAUUCUCAAAUAAGUUCAUAGCCAAGAAAAAUUUAGGACAUGCCCACCACCUUCCAGCAAUGUAAAUCCAAGGCAGGUUAGAAAACAUAUGUAAAAGAUGGAACUGUCAGCAGCUAACCAAAUAAACAGAAGGAAUUAUAGGUGGAUCUUAACUGAUACUGAAACAGGAGAGGACUUUACAAGCACAAAAGGAAUGGGAGAAUUCACAAAAGAAAAGAUAAAUAGAUUUAAUAUUUAAAACUGGAAUUCCUUUUAUACCAAAAAAUGUCAUGAGUAAAAAGACCACUUAGGGAAAACGUUUACAAUAAAUUACCGGAAAAGAGUAAAUAUUCUUAAUCUAUUAAGAAAAUAAACUCUUACAAACCAGGAAGAAAAACUCCAUCUCUCAAAUAGAAAAAAAUAGGCAAAUAGGAACAGAUGAUUCACAGAACAUAUACAGUUGAUAGCAGCUGUGCGCUGGAGCUGGCUGGUACUAGCUCACCUCAGCCAAUUCUCUGUUCCUCGUUCAGUGACAUCACGUUAAUGGCUUGCACUUGGCCAUGGUGAGAGUUGUCACAGCAGAGAAAUCAUCUACAAAUCAAGGCUUUUUCUUGACUGCCAAUUUACCAGCAAACCAUUGGUUAAUAGAUGUAUAAAAAGCAGUUCAAGUGUACCAGUAAUCAAAGAAAUACAAAAAGAAAUGAGGUCUGGACAAGAUGGAAAUAAGCACAUUUCACCCUAUUUCUCCUGCAAAUUACCAUAAAAAAAAAUCUGCAGACAAUUCAUAAAGCAACUGACAGAGCCUCUGAAAGUUGGAGAAAACGUAAGUAGAGUGGCUAGGGACCUCAGAAUUCAAGGAAUUACCCAGUAGUUCUUGUUUUUUUUUUUUUUUUUCACUUUUGUCUUUUCUAUAUCUUGGUCUGGGCUCUGGAGAGGCCUCCAAUCUGGAAAUGCCAGUGGCACCAGACAAACAAAGGCCCAAGAAUAACCCUCUUAUCUCUAGCCAAAAGAUGGGGACAAGGGCAACUAGUAAGAGAGAAACAUUUGACCCCACCUGACCUCACUCCAGCUCAGGUGAACACCAGAAGAAUGCCACGCCCCUGCCCCUGCUCCCUGGGCAUCACUGCCUUGCGGUGAUAGAGCCCUGCCUUCCAUCCUCCCUUGCAAUAACAGGCCACACCCUGGAACAGACUGUGGCAGGACUUCCAGUGUGGGCAGUGAUUUCUUAUUGCUAUGGAGUCCAGGAGGAAGUGGAACAUUUUUCAAUCAUUGAAAGAAGAAAACAGUCAAGCCAGAAUUCUAUAUCCAGUGAAAAUAUCCUUUAGGAAGAAAG